rnacentral:tRNA from 1 species
AGAGAUGAUGAUCAAGGGUUGAUCGGUUGAUUGCAAAUCAAAAGGUAGGAGUUCGAGUCUCCUCAUUUCUU